UCCUGGCUCAGGACGAACGCUGGCGGCGUGCCUAAUACAUGCAAGUAGAACGCUGAAGUCUGGUGCUUGCACUAGACGGAUGAGUUGCGAACGGGUGAGUAACGCGUAGGUAACCUGCCUCAUAGCGGGGGAUAACUAUUGGAAACGAUAGCUAAUACCGCAUAACAGUAUUUACCGCAUGGUAGAUACUUGAAAGGAGCAAUUGCUUCACUAUGAGAUGGACCUGCGUUGUAUUAGCUAGUUGGUGAGGUAACGGCUCACCAAGGCAUCGAUACAUAGCCGACCUGAGAGGGUGAUCGGCCACACUGGGACUGAGACACGGCCCAGACUCCUACGGGAGGCAGCAGUAGGGAAUCUUCGGCAAUGGGGGCAACCCUGACCGAGCAACGCCGCGUGAGUGAAGAAGGUUUUCGGAUCGUAAAGCUCUGUUGUAAGAGAAGAACUGUGAGAAGAGUGGAAAGUUCUCA
rnacentral:rRNA from 1 species